GAAAUGCGAUAAGUAAUGUGAAUUGCAGAAUUCAGUGAAUCAUCGAAUCUUUGAACGCACAUUGCGCCCCCUGGCAUUCCGGGGGGCAUGCCUGUUCGAGCGUCAUUACACCACUCAAGCCUGGCUUGGUAUUGAGCGCCGCGGCCUGCCCGCGCGCUCCAAUGUCUCCGGCUGAGCCGUCCGUCUCUAAGCGUUGUGAAUAGCGAUCGCUUGCGAGGCCCGGGCGGUUCGACGCCGUUAAACCCCCCAUUUUCCAUGGUUGACCUCGGAUCAGGUAGGGAUACCCGCUGAACUUAAGC
rnacentral:misc_RNA from 1 species